AUUGUAGAGAUGUUUCGGUGAGCGCCGGUCUAAGUCCGUUGGAACACGGCGUCAUAGAGGUGAGAAUCCCGUAUGUGACCAGUGACCGAUCCCAUGUGAAACUCCUUCGACGAGUCGAGUUGUUUGGGAAUGCAGCUCAAAAUGGGUGGUAAAUUUCAUCUAAAGCUAAAUACUGGCUGGAGACCGAUAGCGCACAAGUAGAGUGAUCGAAAGAUGAAAAGCACUUUGGAAAGAGAGUCAAACAGUACGUGAAAUUGUUGAAAGGGAAGCGCUUGCAACCAGACCUGUCCGUAGGUGAUCAGCCGCCGUUCUCGGUGGUGCACUCGCCUACGAUCAGGCCAGCAUCGGUUCGGGCGGUCGGAUAAAGGCCUUGGGAAUGUAGCUCCUCUCGAGGAGUCUUAUAGCCCUCGGUGCAAUGCGGCCAACCCGGACCGAGGACCGCGCUUCGGCUAGGAUGCUGGCGUAAUGGUUGUAAGCGACCCGUCUUGAAACACGGACCAAGGAGUCUAACAUCUAUGCGAGUGUUUGGGUGUCAAACCCAUACGCGGAAUGAAAGUGAACGGAGGUGAGAACCCUUUAGGGCGCAUCAUCGACCGAUCCAGAUGUCUUCGGAUGGAUUUGAGUAUGAGCAUAGCUGUUGGGACCCGAAAGAUGGUGAACUAUGCCUGAAUAGGGUGAAGCCAGAGGAAACUCUGGUGGAGGCUCGCAGCGGU
rnacentral:rRNA from 1 species